rnacentral:rRNA from 1 species
AACGAACGCUGGCGGCAGGCUUAACACAUGCAAGUCGAACGCGUGUAGCAAUACACGAGUGGCGCACGGGUGAGUAACGCGUGGAUAUCUGCCUUUUGGUUCGGAAUAACUCCGGGAAACUGGAGCUAAUACCGGAUGGUUCCUACGGGAUAAAGAUUUAUCGCCAAAAAGAUGAGUCCGCGUACGAUUAGCUAGUUGGU